rnacentral:piRNA from 1 species
UUGGCGAUUUUGUUGGUCUCAUUGGGGUUC